UAGUAGAGCCCUAUCUAAGGUAACCGAAGGA
rnacentral:piRNA from 1 species